GCGGGGGUAACUCAGUUGGUAGAGUACCUGCCUUCCAAGCAGGCUGUCGCGAGUUCGAGUCUCGUCCCCCGCUCCA
rnacentral:tRNA from 3 species